rnacentral:rRNA from 1 species
AUGAGAGAAACCGUGGUUCUGUACGCCGGACUUGGUGCGGGGCACCUGGCGCCGAUGGUGGAGCUGGCCAUGCUCUUCCAGCGGCACGGCCUCACUGCCACCGUCGUCAUCGCGGAGUCACCAGCCAAGUCCGCUGCUGCGGUGGCGAGCCCGUCCAUCAACAUUCACGUGCUGCCAUUGCCAACACCCGAGCCCCCGUCUUCGAACGAUCCUGUGGUGCAGAUGUUCGAUCUGCUACGCCGCACGAACGCACCACUCCGUGACUACCUCCGGUCGGUCCUCCCCUCCGUGCGCGCUCUCGUCGUCGACAUAUUUUGCGUCGACGCCCUCGACGUCGCCACGGAGCUCGGCGUGCCGGCAUACCUGCUCUACACCUGCAGCGCGAGCUGCCUCGCCGUCAACCUCAACCUCCCGCACGUGCAGGCCAGGAUCGACGCCACCGGAGAUGUCGGCGGCCCGGUGCUCUCAUUCCCGGGCAAUCGCCCGAUCAAACUCACGGACCUCCCCGACGGUACUUUCGACCCCAACCACGAGCCGUUCAAGGAGUUCCUGCACUUGUCCGCGCGGACGCUGGAGUUCAGCGGCGUCCUCGUCAACACGUUCGAGUGGCUAGAGGCGAGGGCGCUGCGCACGCUCAAGGACGGCUCGUGCAUCCCCGCUGCCAUGCCGCCGGUGUACCCCGUCGGCCCAAUGGUUGCCGGCUGCGGAGGAGGGGACAGGGAGCACGAGUGCCUUGCAUGGCUGGACGGGCAGCCGGAGAAGAGCGUGGUGUUUCUCUGCUUUGGGAGCAGGGGCUGCUUCCCCAAGAAGCAGCUUGAGGAGAUCGCCAUGGGGCUGGAGAGGUCCGGGAAGAGAUUCCUGUGGGUGGUGUCCAGCUCAUCUGAAGAUCAACUACAGGACCUCCUGCCGGAGGGAUUCCUGGAGAAGACCGACGGCAGAGGGUUCGUGGUCAAGUCGUGGGCGCCACAGCCGGAGGUGCUGCAGCACCGGGCGACAGGCGCAUUCUUGACGCACUGCGGGUGGAACUCGGCCCUGGAGGGGAUCGUUGCUGGGCUGCCCCUCAUCUGCUGGCCGCUCUACGCAGAGCAGAGGCUGAACAAGGUGUUCAUCGUGGAGGAGCUGAUGGCCGGCGUGGAGAUGGCAGGGUACGACGGCGAGCUGGUCCCGGCCGCGGAGGUGGAGUCCAAGGUUAGGUUGGUGAUGGAGUCGCCGGGCGGACAGGCGCUACGGGAGCGAGCCAUGGAAGCCAAGGAGAGGGCCGCACGGGCGGCACAGCAAGGUGGAGCAUCCGACGUUGCUUUUGCCGAGUUCCUCGCGCACUUGGAAAGUGUUGUUCGUGGCCAUUAA